CGCUGUGCUGUCUGUCACCUUUUAUUACAAAACCUUCUGAAAUUCUCCAAAUCGUCUCGCCGGUUAUCGUGUUCAACCACAGUGUGCUUGCAGGAGCCUCGAGCUGGAACCACAAGGCAGCCACAGUGCGUCGGGGACUUCUGUUCUGUGCCCAGGAGGGCCCCCCUCCUUUCUCCUCCCCACUAGGGAGCAGUAUCCCACCAUUGUCCAGGAGCAGGGCAGCGUCUGUGAACAGGGUCUCACACUGUGUCCCAGACUGGUCUGAAACUAUCUAUGUGUAGCCCAGGCAGAAGUGGCAUACGCAGCAAUUCUCCUGUCUCAGUGUCCUGGCUGCUGAGCUUGCAGGCUGACAGUUUGAUGCAGGAUCUCCCAGUGACCAAUCAGGCUAGACUGACCGGCAAGCAAGCUCUCUGGUGCCUGGAUUAUGUGCCUGGAUUAUGAACGCUCAUUACCACACCUCGCUUUGGUUUCAUGAA
rnacentral:lncRNA from 1 species